rnacentral:rRNA from 1 species
AUGGAUCUGGUGUUCCCAAAGGAUGAUGAGGGUAGACAUUUCUCAUAUUUUCACUACACCAGAAAGUUAGCUAAUGAAGGGGUUAUUCACAGAGAGUGGUUGGUUUGCUCUAAAGAGGUUGACAAAGUUUAUUGUUUUUGUUGCAAGUUAUUCAAAUCAAAUCAGAACAGGUCAUUGCUAGCAUCUGAUGGAUUGAGGGACUGGAGGCGUAUUAGUGCAAGACUCAAAGAACAUGAGGUUAGUGUUGAACACUUUACCAACAUGAAUACAUGGAAUGAACUAAGGUUGAGGUUAAGCAGAAACAAAACAAUUGAUGAUGAGAUGCAGCAGAAGGUUGCAAAGGAAAAAGAGCGUUGGAGACAGGUAUUGCUCAGGAUAGUUUCUUUAGUGAAGUUUCUUGCAAAGCGUAAUUUGGGAUUUCGAGGAACAAAUGAGAAGCUGUUUGAACAUAAUAAUGGCAAUUUUUUGGGCUCAGUUGAAAUGAUUGCUGAAUUUGAUCCUAUGAUGCAAGAACAUAUUAGGCGCAUUCAAAACAAGGAAAUACAUCAUCAUUAUCUUGGCCAUGGUAUUCAGGAUGAGUUGAUCUUACUUCUUGCUGAUUCCGUCAAAAAGUUUAUCUUAAAGACCAUCAAGGAUGCCAAGUAUUUCUCUGUUAUAUUGGACUGUACUCCAGAUGUGAGCCAUGAAGAACAAAUGACACUAAUUGUGCGUUGUGUGAAUAUGUCAAGGCAAGGUUAUGACAAUGGUUCUAACAUGAAGGGAAAAAAAUCAAGAUAA